rnacentral:rRNA from 1 species
GACGAACGCUGGCGGCGUGCCUAAUACAUGCAAGUCGAGCGAAGUUUUUCUGGUGCUUGCACCGGAAAAACUUAGCGGCGAACGGGUGAGUAACACGUAAAGAACCUGCCUCAUAGACUGGGACAACUAUUGGAAACGAUAGCUAAUACCGGAUAAUAGCAUUAACUGCAUGGUUGAUGUUUAAAAGUUGGUUUUGCUAACACUAUGAGAUGGCUUUGCGGUGCAUUAGCUAGUUGGUGGGGUAAAGGCCUACCAAGGCGACGAUGCAUAGCCGACCUGAGAGGGUGAUCGGCCACACUGGGACUGAGACACGGCCCAGACUCCUACGAGAGGCAGCAGUAGGGAAUCUUCCGCAAAGGGCGAAAGCCUGACGGAGCAACGCCGCGUGAGUGAAGAAGGAUUUCGGUUCGUAAAGCUCUGUUGUUAGGGAAGAAUGAUUGUGUAGUAACUAUACACAGUAGAGACGGUACCUAACCAGAAAGCCACGGCUAACUACGUG